GGGGGAAUUCCAGAGCGGUCAAAUGGGGCAGACUGUAAAUCUGUUGUCUACGACUUCGGUGGUUCGAAUCCACCUUCCCCCACCA
rnacentral:tRNA from 3 species